GGGGGGUCUAUCAUGCAGUCGAGCGAUGACGAGGAGCUUGCUCCUCUGAUUUAGCGGCGGACGGGUGAGUAACACGUGGGUAAUCUGCCUGUAAGACGGGGAUAACUCCGGGAAACCGGGGCUAAUACCGGAUAAUAAGAAGAAACGCAUGUUUCUUUUUUGAAAGUCGGUUUCGGCUGACACUUACAGAUGAGCCCGCGGCGCAUUAGCUAGUUGGUGAGGUAACGGCUCACCAAGGCGACGAUGCGUAGCCGACCUGAGAGGGUGAUCGGCCACACUGGGACUGAGACACGGCCCAGACUCCUACGGGAGGCAGCAGUAGGGAAUCUUCGGCAAUGGGCGAAAGCCUGACCGAGCAACGCCGCGUGAGCGAUGAAGGCCUUCGGGUCGUAAAGCUCUGUUGUUAGAGAAGAACAAGUACGAGAGUAACUGCUCGUACCUUGACGGUACCUAACCAGAAAGCCACGGCUAACUACGUGCCAGCAGCCGCGGUAAUACGUAGGUGGCAAGCGUUAUCCGGAAUUAUUGGGCGUAAAGCGCGCGCAGGCGGUCUCUUAAGUCUGAUGUGAAAGCCCACGGCUCAACCGUGGAGGGUCAUUGGAAACUGGGAGACUUGAGUGCAGGAGAGAAAAGUGGAAUUCCACGUGUAGCGGUGAAAUGCGUAGAGAUGUGGAGGAACACCAGUGGCGAAGGCGGCUUUUUGGCCUGUAACUGACGCUGAGGCGCGAAAGCGUGGGGAGCAAACAGGAUUAGAUACCCUGGUAGUCCACGCCGUAAACGAUGAGUGCUAGGUGUUGGGGGGUUCCACCCUCAGUGCUGAAGUUAACACAUUAAGCACUCCGCCUGGGGAGUACGACCGCAAGGUUGAAACUCAAAGGAAUUGACGGGGGCCCGCACAAGCAGUGGAGCAUGUGGUUUAAUUCGAAG
rnacentral:rRNA from 1 species